AAAGGGAACUUCACCGUUGCAUGAGUGAGGUGUUAAAGACAAACUACAUGACUUCACUUACAACACAGACCUUGACCCACAGCGUUGGAGCCUCGCAUGAUCAUGACUAACGAGACCACUUGUGUCCAUACAAAUACAACCGCAUGCCCGUCCUCCAGCUCCUCUGUAGGCCUGGCUGUUGGGCUGACACUCUUCUUUCUAAUCCUCGCGAUCGUAGUUGGUGUAAUCGUGUACAAAUACCACAGUAAAAUGAGGAAUAUGUUGGAGUCAUUACAAACAAGAAGCCAGAAAAAGGAGGACUAUACAGAGACGCCACAAGAUGAUUCCCAUCACUACACCAGUAUGAUCAGAGAACAGCCAGCAGGACAGACCCCUAUAUAUGAAAACUUUAAUCCAACUGGACCCAACAGGCCUGCAGCAAAUACGAGCAGGUUUCCCAGUGAACCUGAAGAGGAUGUGUACUUGGAGUGUGAUUCACCAGAUGAUGCAAUAUACAGCAACGAUCCGGCGUGCAACCUCUCCAUCCUCCCAGAUGCCCAAGAAGAAGACGUGUAUAUUGUUCCAGAUACAUUAUAGGACCCAUCUCCAUUUAUUGCUCUUGGUAAAAAUACGCUGCUGCUUUUUGUUACCGCCGACCUGUAAACAAAAACAAGCGCUGUGGUGUCUGAAUGUAUUUAAUAGAUAUAUCUUAUUGUUGUACGUCAUUUGUCAACACAAUCGCCAGAAUAAAUGUUAGGAUUUUAUGCUUCUGCAAACCAAAGAUGUGCAACAUUUGUGCGUUUCAUAUGUAGUCGAUAUGUUGAAACUGUGGUUAAAACAUGGUUAUUUUUAUGCACAAACAACACUUCACUUAAUAAGGGUUAUGAAAAUGUGUUUGGGCUUAGAAUACUCGGUUUGUUCAUCACAAACAUGGCUGGAAAUGUCCAAAACUCUUGUUAAAAAUAUGUGGUUUGCUCAUUACAAGCACAGCUAUAAAUGUCCCAAGCUCUCAUUGAAAUAUGGUCGCUACAAACAUGGCUGGAAAUGUCCCGAACUCUUAUUAAAAAAUAACAAGUUUGGUUGCUACAAACUUUGCUGGAAAUGUCCUGAGUAUUCGUUUAAAAAAAAAACCUGGUUUGGUCCAAACAAAUGCAGCUAGAAAUGUCCCAAACCCUCAUUAAAAAAAAAAAAAAAAAACAGUUGCUGCUACAAACUUGGCUAGAAAUGUCCUGAAUUUUUAUUUAAAAAAUACCUGAUUUGGUCACGACAAAUGCAGCUAGAAAAAUCCAAAACUCUUGUUAAAAAUUAUCUGGUUUGGCUGCUACAAACACAGCUAGAAAUGUCGUGAAUUCUCGCUAAGAACAAUUCAUUUUGUUGGCAUCUAACAGUGGUCUGCUGCUGUGUGCUGCUCCUUAUCAAAGUCCCACGCCAUCCACCAUCCCUACUUCCUGCUGAUGAGAAACUAUGCUCAUAUGAAUAUAAUCUGAACUAUUUCAUAUUAGAAAUGUUGAUAUGAUACAUAUGAUACGUACAAGUGUAAGACAUUGACGGUUUGCAAAAGUAUACCACAUUUUAUUCUAUCAGCUGAGCUGCGUCUGUAAAGUGUGCAGUGGAAUUAUACGUAUAUGUUUUUUGUAUUUGUUCUGUUGACCAUGAAAUUUGAUUGCUACUGUUUCUAGCACAGUUCAAAGAUGAUAUUAGAAGCACUCCUCUGCACAUGACCACAUUUUGACAACAGUCCAAUGUAAUAAUUUUUCUGAUAAGAUUUGAUCAUUUUAUGGCUCUCUCUCUUGUUAGAUUAAAUUACUUUUUUAUUAUGACCUUUAGAGAGGAGAAGUGAAUGUGAGUGUGUGUGUGUGUGUGUGUGUGUGUGUGUGUGUGUGUGUGUGUGUGUGUGUGUGUGUGUGUGUGUGAUUUCUUCACACUUGUGUGGUAAAGUCAUGUGGGUUUUCUGCUGUCCCCUUUUGCAUCAGCAGGGUUGCAUUUUGCUCUAGAAACAUAAUACAAUAUUAUUUAAUUUUUGUUUGUUCUACAUGUAGUUAACAAACAGGUAAAUAUACAAAUAAAUAAGAGAA